UUCUUGCAAGGAACGGGACUGCCGUAGUCUCAUCGAUGGCGACGGCAAGGGAGGAAGCCGGUGUGAAUCCGGCGCGGUCCCGCCACUGUAACCGGGGAGCGAACCCCACCCAGGCCACUGUCCGGCGACGGACGGGAAGGCUGGGGGGAGCACCGAUCCGGGAGCCAGGAGACUCCAGCCGUCGUAGCCGACGACG
rnacentral:ncRNA from 21 species